AUUGAACGCUGGCGGCAGGCCUAACACAUGCAAGUCGAACGAGUGGCGGACGGGUGAGUAAUGUCUGGGCAACUGCCUGGUGGAGGGGGAUAAGUACCGGAAACUGUAGCUAAUACCGCAUACCAUCAGAUGUGCCCAGCUGGGAUUAACUAGUUGGUGGGGUAACGGCUCACCAAGGCGACGAUCCCUAACUGGUCUGAGAGGAUGACCAGCCACACUGGAACUGAGACACGGUCCAGACUCCGACGGGAGGCAGCAGUGGGGAAUAUUGCACAAUGGGCGCAAGCCUGAUGCAGCCAUGCCGCGUGUAUGAAGAAGGCCUUCGGAUUGUAAAGUACUUUAAGCGGGGAGGCGUUACCCGCAGAAGAAGCACCGGCUAACUCCGUGCCAGCAGCCGCGGUAAUAC
rnacentral:rRNA from 1 species